AUAGUAGUCGAGUCGAUAAAUGUAAAUGCUUUCCGUUGAAAGCCGCGGAGACCACCAACGACGCCUCCCCUCCUCCUCUUUCUCCUCCGGCAUCGACGGCGGCGCGGCGCGGCGCGGCGCCGUACCCUCCCUCCCUGACGACGCCUCCUCCAGGUACCUCAUCGCCUUCCAAGCAAGAGCCUGUCCAUCUCAGGCAUGUCUUUCAGAACUCACUCCUCCUUCACUCACACUCUGCAGAAGCUGAAACACUCGAACUCCAUGUCCUCCGAAAACCCUCCAUUCAGUCUUCAGAUCCGACCCAUUUCGAGCCUCAAAGUCGAGUGGCGCAAGGACCCGAAGCUUGACCAAGCCAUAGAAAACGACAAGCGCUACAACCUCUGCGCUCGGGUCGUCAAGGAGGUCCUCAACGAGCCGGGCCAAGUCAUCCCGCUCCGCUACCUCGAGAAGAGGCGCGAGCGCAUGCGCCUCAAGUUUACGGUAAAGACGUUCCUCGAUCGAAACCCGGGUGUACUCGAUACUUACUAUGAUAGGGUUAAGCCAAAAUCGGAUCCUGUCCCCUUCUUGCGGGCUAGCGAUAGGCUUAGGGGCUUUCUUGAGGAGGAGAAGAGGGUAAACAGCGCGAACGAGCCGUUGAUAGUGUCUAAGCUGUGUAAAUUGCUGAUGAUGUCAAAAGACAAGGUGAUCAGCGCGGAUAAGCUGCUUCAUGUGAAGAGAGAAUUCGGGUUCCCGAAUGACUUCAUGGUGAAUUUAGUCCCUAGGUAUUCUCAGUAUUUCAGGCUUGUCGGGGCCCCAGGAGAGGGAAAAUCCUUUUUGGAGCUGGUUUCUUAUGAAGCGGAAUGGGCAAAAUCUGUAAUUGAAAAGAGAGCGGAGGAGGAAGCAAGGUUAACAGGGAUUCGGGUCAGGCCUAAUUUCAAUGUCAAGCUUCCGCCCGGUUUUUUCUUGAAGAAGGAAAUGAGGGAGUGGACGAGGGAUUGGUUGGAACUUGAUUACAUAUCGCCAUACGAGGAUGCGUCGCAUUUGGACCAGGCUUCGGUUGAGAUGGAGAAGAGGACAGUGGGAGUCUUCCACGAGUUGCUGUCACUCUCGUUGCUUAAGAGGAUUCCAGUGCCAAUCCUGGGCAAGUUCACUGAGGACUAUAGAUUUUCAAAUGCAUUCUCGACUGUUUUCACUAGACAUUCAGGGAUCUUUUAUAUGUCCCUGAAGGGCAAUAUAGAGACGGCAAUUUUGAGGGAAGCAUAUAAGGACGGUGUCUUGAUUGAUAGGGAUCCCUUGCUUGAGAUUAAGGACAAGUUUGUUGAACUAGUGGAGAUGGGAUGGCGAGAGAGAAGAGAACGCAUGAGGACUCAAAAGGAAGAGUUUGAGAAGGAUAUUGAAAUGAUGGCAACCGGUAACAUUAGAACGCAUUGAGAGCUUUCUACUUGAAGAUUAUAUUCACAUUGCAGCUUGCGAUUAUUGACUAAUUAUGCUGGAAAUGAAAGGAAAAGAAAGUUCGUAUGGUUAAGCAUCAACCCCUACCAUCAUGCUUGUGUCACGGGCUGAAAGCUGACCGGGUGUUCCAGCUCAUCAGGCACUGCACAGGCUUGUCCUCGGGCAAGAAGCUUUCGGCCUGCGACACUUGCAUACAAUUCUCGAGUUUUGUAGGGAAGGCAAUUAUGAAAUGUCAACUGAACAUAUAGUGGACCAAUUGGAAACACUUAUGGAUACAGUACAAUGCUCUUUCCCAUUCAGAGGAACUUGCCCCAAAUGUAAUUGUCUUGUCUUCUAUCAUGUCGGUAUUAAAGUGGCUGGUUUCACUUGGAUUGACCAUGAUGGCUUCAGCAAUGCUGAAUUGAAGGCUGUGGUGUAUGCAUAUGACGUAGCGGGCUAUGUUGAUCGGGGCACGGUGCUUCUAUCAGACUCGCACAUCGGGUGUUUUCCAACUGGACAUAAAAAGCAGAGGGAAUCGGUAAGACUUAGCUCGCAGUAUUGAUGAACAGAGACGAAGAAUUGUAGUUAUAAGUAUUACUUCGAAGUCCGUAUGAACUUCCUGUCAGAGAUCUUUUGUUCAGCUCUAUUUAGUAGUCUCCUUUGUGUACUCUUAUCUGUUACAGGUUCUUGUCUUUCCUUUAUCAGUAAAUAUAUCUAGAAAGGAAAGCUAUAUGCACAAUCACAAGGGCAUAGCCUAGAAAAUGACCCGCUCUAUUAUCUAUAACCGAAACGAUUCAGGAACUAAGCAAGUAGCCAAAGAAAACUUAAGGUCAAUCAACGUCAAGAUACAUAAGCACA